rnacentral:sRNA from 1 species
UUUACAAAACGAAAGCUGUUAUUUAAUUGUAAAUCGAAUUUACACAGUUUGCAGCCUUAAUUAAAUGUAUGUUUUCAGUAUUAAUCACAGUGUGCACUCAGUUUUGAAUUGACUUCACAUUCGAUAAACCUAAUUUUACGGUGAAACCAUAUUUAGCUUUUAUGAUGAGCAAGUAAAGAAAAUGAGUUUGUUCAUAGAAAGAGGAAAUGUUUAUAAAGAAAAAUUAGUUUUCCUAUAUCAUCGCAGUGUCAAACAGCGACUUAAAAAUUGACAUUAUUAUAUGAAAAAAAAAUCGUAGGAGUUACUCUUUAUCCAUCGGAAUCCAUUUCUAUUUGUCUAAGUAUGGAGGGUCUUUAAGAAAGCAUUAAAAGUUACAAGUAUAUUGAUAUUUUUGGUGUGAUUUUUAUUUUUACACAAGAAACAAUUUCCCAACUCCUCCCGAAGUUAAUCUAAAAGCAAUAUGUUAUAAUUUUAUCUUAUCAGAAUAAAGUUUUUUCCACUAUUAAGAGGGCCUGAUGGGCGUGAUCAUUUUUAGGGUAUAUUUUCCUCCUUUAGACAAAGUUAUGUAAAGGAAAAUGUUCAAAAUUUAUUAAAGCUAAAAACAUUCAUACAAAAUAAUAGUAAUGUCCAAAAUGUCAUAUGUAGAUCUAUAAGAUUAUGGCAGAAUUGAUGGUUAAUUUGUUGACCGCCCAGCUUCCUUAGGGAGUAUUUAGCAAUCCUUAUUUGCUCAUGAUGACAACAAUUUGAAUUUGUUUCAAUCGGUUUCUAUACACUGUACAUGUAUAGCUUUUCCAAUAAAAACAAGACUGACAGGCUUAUAAAC